AAUCUGGUUGCCUAGAUCAUACCAUAUGUCAAGGAAGAAAUGAAGAAAAACAACAUAUCAGAGCAGACCGUAAUUGGCAUCAUCUGGUCUAGUGUAAUGAGCACUGUGGAAUGGAACAAAAAAGAGGAACUCGUCGCAGAACAAGCCAUUAAGCACUUGAAGCAAUACAGCCCUCUUCUUGCUGCCUUUACAACCCAAGGUCAGUCUGAACUGACUCUGUUGCUAAAGAUUCAA